UUCAGCUUAGUAUUUUUCUACUAUUUCCUUUCACUAUUUUUAUUUUCUACAUCCUCUUUGAAGCUCAUCAGAGUGAUGUUAUUUCAUUCUCAAAGAGAUUAACUGACUUAUUUGUUUUUUUGUUUCAGAUGUGAUCAUCAACGGUCAAGAAGAAGAGACUUCAAUUUGACUCAUCUGUUGUAACAAAUCUCCACCUUGAGACAAAUUGUUCUCUGAGGCUUCUCUUCUAGUGUCUAUUUUGCAGAUUAAUCGCAGGACUUCAUUCGCAUAUGCGGAACCCCUAUCCAAUGAACAAACAAUUGGUCGCAUGUCUCAGGAUCUUUGAGCUGGCACCAGCGGAUCGCUUGGCAAGUAUUCAAAAGAUUGAUCAUGAUAGAAUUGCUAACAUUCUUACCUACCACGUUAGACGAUAGUGAUUUAUCUGAGCGGGAAUCCCACCAAUAGUCUGCGCACGACUCUAUAAAUAGAGUCUUGACACCAUGAAGAAAGAGAACAAUUUUAGAUAGAGAGAGAGAGAUUUUCAUGAGAGAAAAUUUCACUUCCAUACUUCACCCCGAUUCUUCAUCGAAGCCUUACCGGAGCAAGAGUUUGAGAAAGUCUUCUUCAUUCACCUAACCAUUAUAUCACCAGAAGCCUUGACAUUCAUCUAUGGGAAGGAAGAGAUUGCUAACAAUCCUUACCUUAUCUCUUCAAUCCUUUAGUUGUGGUAUUGCAUUUUGUUUAAAAUAUUGCUCAUCUGUGUAUCCAACAAUAGUAUUUCUAUUUCAAUAUCAUCAUGUCCACUUUUAUCA